rnacentral:rRNA from 1 species
AUGGCUAGGGGGAAGAUUGUGAUUAGGAGGAUUGAGAAGAUGAGCAACAGGCAAGUCACCUUCUCCAAGCGGCGUCAUGGCCUGCUGAAGAAGGCACGUGAGCUGGCCAUCCUCUGCGAUGUCCAGGUCGGCGUCAUCGUCUUCUCCUCCACCGGUCGCCUCUACGAGUAUGCCAGCUCCACCACCAGCGCCUCCACGGGAAUGCCUUCCAUCAUCCAUAAGUACCAAUCUGCACAGGAGCACCAGCAGCUGCUGAAUCCAGUGUCACAAAUCAUGUUUUGA